GGCAUGUGCUCAUGCAGAUAAGAAAGAAAACUGUUGUAAAACAUGUACCUAUACAGUCCUGAAAUGUUGCAUAAGUUACCCACAGACCACAAAUAACAUCUCCUCCACCACUUGAUGAAGAAAAGAGGCUUUUGAGUACGUUAUCUCUCCAUGCUCCAGACUAGCUUUUCCUCCUCUAACGUCUGACACAUACCUUCAAACACAUGUUGGGUCUUCAAUGAAGGAAGGACUCAUUUAAUCAUUUCAGCUUGUCUACAUUCAGACUGGCACUAAACAGGAAGUGUUGCUGCACUGAGAGAAACUGAGCCAGGAACAGAGCAGAUGUUAAAAACUUCAGCAGCCACGUCUUAAAAAGAAACAGAGAAAGAGAACAACAAAAAAGAAAAGAGAAACUACUGGUCAGAUUCUGGUGGCUAUCUGAGCUGUCAUAGUAGCUCCUGUGCCAGCUCUUCCACAACUCUCCUUGCUGUUGACAGAGACAGUUUCCUUGUGCCUGCUGAUUCAGACCUCUGAGGCCACUGAUAGCCAGUACAAGUUACAGCAGCCCUUAGGCUAUUCUAAAUCAGAUCAGGGGAGCAGCCUGGCACAAAGACGCUCCAGGAUCACAGCAGUGGCAAGUGAGUUUAAAUCACCUUUGCACACCACCCUGAAAUGCCCUGUGCACAAGAGCUGGUCAGACAUUUUCAGAUAGAAAAUUUUUCCGACAGAAAAUGGCAUUUUGGUGACGUUUGUUGAUUUUGAUUAACUUAAAAAACAAAACAAAAAAUGGAACAUAGCAUUCAGAUAAGGUCAAAAUGUUGCUGUUAUUGAGAAAGUGAACGUUUUCAAAAGAAUGUUGUGAUUCUCCAAUUUGAAAUGACUUUUCAUUUCUAUAUGUUCACAUUUUAUAUAAAAUAAAAAGGGUCAGCACUGGAAUAAAAUGUUUCAAUUGUAUCAAAAUGAAAUGUUUCUGUCAACCAGAAACUAUUUUUUCCCAUACAUUUCAUUUUGUGGAAAAUUUUAAACAAUUUUCUUUUCACUUUGUUUGCAAGUGUUUGAAAAAUUCAAAGUCAUGAAAUUUUCCUAGCAAAAAAACCCAAAACAUUCGGUUCCUGCCCAGCUCUACUGCACACUCUUCAACCUUGACUGGGCUUCAGUCUCCAAUUCUUGCUCUCUCUCUCUCCUUAGACUCCAGUAAACCUUGAUUUUAAAUUCUAGCUUUAUCCCUGUUAUCAUCAGAUUCAUUCAGUAUCUCAACCAGAGAGAUAUAUGGACUAUAAGUUUUCCAGGCCACUACCUUAACACCAUAUACCUUCUGGGAAAGGCAUUCCAACUUCACCUUCUCAAUAACAGCAAUUUCUCAAAAACAGAGAGAUGGAGUCACUUCACAGUGAUCAAUGGCAUUCAUUGAGCUGCCCACAAUUCUAUUCCAUUUUAUAUAGAUAAGGUUCUUAUGCUGCAUUCAUCACUAUAGCAUCUGAGUGCCUUCUAGUCAUGUAUUAAGCAAUGUGACUAACUGUUCUUAGCGGUGACCACAUCUUUUUCCUGAGUGUUACAGAAAAAUUUAGAAUCCAGCGAGGUGCAUGAAUUAAAAUUAUUCUUUCCAACAUGCAUUAUCUUGCAUUUUCCUUCCUAUCUUGGGUCUCUCUGAAGUCCUUCUUAGUCUUCUCUGGCCUUGACUAACCUUAACAAUUUUGUACCUUCUUCCAAUUUUUAAUGUCUCAUUGCUUACUGUUUGUUCCACUAAUAAAUAUAUUAAACGACACUAGUCCCAGUACAGAAUUUCACUUUGCAUGUGCUAUGACAGCAGGAAACUGGAGGUCAUAUUAUCUGAUUGCAUUUGUUUAUGAUUUGAUGUCCAUGCACAAGGGUGAUAUUGACCUGCAGAUCAUAGGGGAUGUGUAGAAACCUCUAUGCACCACUUGCACCCUUAUCUCAGGAAUCAGAGGGUCUUAAGUGGUACAUAGUGCCUUGUGUGGUCCUUCAGCGCAGGAUUAAAUUGUUUCUGUAACGAGCUAUGCCUCUCCAGUAUACAUUUAUACCAGACACUUGAUGCUGAAGUACUUGUCUACAGCCUAAUAUAGCACACCUGGUGCAAUGUGCCCUGUUUUUGAAGUCCUGCUGUAAGGGACCUAGGCUAAAGUGAUCAUCCUUUCAUUGGGUAAUGCUGUCUUCAUGCUAGUUCAUUUAUAGGCCCCCUCACUGCUUGGCAAUUUCACUGAACUGUGCUGACUUAUAUGCAUUUAUACUCACCAGGGAACUACCUGGCUCAAUAAACUCAUUAGUCCCUAACAUCAGACACAAGGAAAAGACAUCUGACUUGUUAAUAUUCCUUUACAUCUAAAUCACAAUGGUUUGCUAGGGUAAAACAAAACAACAAAAACCCAAUAUGAAUAUUAGCAAAUUUUAUAUGCUGCUACUUUUAUUGGUUAUCUCAGUUAGUCUCUUUACUGGGCUUCUGUCACAUUUCAGACAAAGUAAUCCACAAUUUUAUUUUCUUUUUAUCAUCAUCAGGCUUGAUUUCAUGUAAAAUAUCUAGAAUAUUUUUCUCUUACAUUCUUCCAAGCAAUUAAUGAAAUAAUAUUUUUUUUUCUUAAAUACUAAGUCUUUUACACCUCAUUGUAAGAGCCCUCUUUUUACAGUUACACCCUACAAUCUCACACUUACAUUGUCUGUAUACCAAUAGUGAAAGCUUUAUGGGAAAAAGUUGUUCAUAAAGUUUCAUUACCUUCUUUCCAAGUUCAUUUGCAACCGAUUUUCAAUAAAUGCUUUACCUCUUCCAUCCCCCGUUCUAAGGACUGAUUCGUCAAGGGUGGACAAAAUAGAUGCCAGACAGAGAAAGAGAGAAAAGCAUUUUAACAGUCUUUGGCUUGUUAUUAGAGCUUCAUUGUGAGGCACAUUUUAGGUGAAAGAGUGUUUCUGAAGUAUAGUAAUUGAAUCUUGUCCUAGCUUUUCUUUGAGACCACUACAAUGAGGUUAGCAGUAUACGUAGUCAUCAUAAUAGUAAAUACUUAUGUUAUGGUAGCACCCACAGACCCCAGUUGGGAUCGGGAUCCUAUUGUGCUAGGGUGGCAAUGUAUAAAUGUAGAACAGAGGCAUUCCUUGUCUAAACACACACAGAGACAAAGAGUACAGAAUGGGGAUACAAUACACAAGAAAAGAUUAUGAUGGAAAAUUGACAAAGCUUUGUGAGUUAUACAGAUUCUAGGUGGUUUUGGGGGCACGAUCUGAAUCUUUUAGUGAAAUCAAUGGAAAGAUGCUCAUUGAUGUAGAUGGGCUUUGGAUCAGGCCUAAAUACUUCAUUUGGGUAAAAUGUUUUUGAAGUACUCGGGUGGAGAAGGUGGGAGACAAGAGUAGAUGUUCCCAGUGAUCUGAAGUUAGCUGGGCCAGGAAUGCAGUUGGAGAGAGAAUACUCUUACAGAAGAAGAUGGGGAAAACUUUACAAGUAAAAUCUUAACACAUUCUGGCUUUUCCCUUAAGCCACAUGGGGAUAGGGAAACAGAACUGUAGCAGCAAUUGGUGGAUUUUCCUAAGCCAUUCCACCUGCAUGAGGUGGACAAAGGUUUAGGUGGCAUGUGGGGAGUAGCCUUUACUGCUGCUUCAGAAAUGAGCAGCAUGUGCUUCCCCUAGAAGCUGGAAAGGUUAAGCAGCUGACUGACCCCAGAUCCCAGGGGCUGGUGAGUACAGCCUGUGCAUUAACACUGUGCAUUAACAUUAACGGAGGCUGGGUUUUAUUGCUUUCAAGAUUAGUUUUUUGGAAUUUUAAAAAUACCUAAUAUCGCUAAGAACGUAAACAUUACAGGACUAUGGCGUAGAUUUGCUGCAGUAAUAGAGACUGAAAACACUCACCUGGUAAAGAAAGAGGAGAAACCCUGCAGUACGUGUUAAUAUUCUGACACACUGAGGCAAAUUGUUUACAGAAGCUGUUGUUUAGGUUGCUGGCUCUGUAGAAUAGCUGUGUUGUGUUGCUAAGCUUUUCUAGUUGUGUAACAUAGAAUCAUAGAAUAUCAAGGUUGGAAGGGACCUCAGGAGGUCAUCUAGUCCAACCCCUUGCUCAAAGCAGGACCAAUUCCCAACUAAAUCAUACCAACCAGGGCUUUGUCAAGCCUGACCUUAAAAACCUCUAAGGAAGGAGAUUCCACCACCUCCCUAGGUAACCCAUUCCAGUGCUUCACCACCCUCCUAGUGAAAACGUUUUUCCGAAUAUCCAACCUAAACCUCCCCCACUGCAAUUUGAGACCAUUACUCCUUGUUCUGUCAUCUGCCACCACUGAGAACAGCCUAGAUCCAUCCUCUUUGGAACCCCCUUUCAGGUAGUUGAAAGCAGCUAUCAAAUCCCCCCUCAUUCUUCUCUUCUGCAGACUAAAUAAUCCCAGUUCCCUCAGCCUAUCCUCAUAAAUCAUGUGAUCCAGCCCCCUAAUAAUUUUUGUUGCGCUCUGCUGGACUCUUUCCAAUUUUUCCCCAUCCUUCUUGUAGUGUGGGGCCCAAAACUGGACACAGUACUCCAGAUGAGGCCUCACCAAUGCCAAAUAGAGAAGAAUGAUCACAUCGUUCGAUCUGCUGGCAAUGCUCCUACUUAUACAGCCCAAAAUGCUGUUCGCCUUCUUGGCAACAAGGGCACACUGUUGACUCAUAUCCAGCUUCUUGUCCACUGUAAUCUCCAGGUCCUUUUCUGCAGAACUGCUGCUUAGCCAGUCAAUCCCCAGCCUGUAGCAGUGCCUGGGAUUCUUUCAUCCUAAGUGCAGGACUCUGCACUUGUCCUUGUUGAACCUCAUCAGAUUUCUUUUGGCCCAAUCCUCUACUUUUGUCUGCAUGGCACAUUAAGGCAAUUUUUCCCCAAAAGGAUAUAAAAGCAAUGCACAAGUCUCAAAGACGAUACUAGGAGAUGCCUGCAUAUAUGAAAGCAAGAUUUUGCCUUAAGAAUGUUUGUCCAUUGUCCUGUAUGCAGCAGCCUUGUGCUCUUUCAGUAGUUUGGGCCGAGAUUCCAUUUCAGCUCAUCAAAGCCUGUUAGCACACAACCUUAUCCAGGAAAUAGUUCUCAACAAUUGCAAUGUCUCUUCUAUAUCUGAGAAAUGUCAUCAACCCAUUCCACUGCAGCCAAGUUUCAUACAUGGCUAAAAGAGACAAAAUCCCAGAAAAAGGAACUAAUAAAAAUUGUGGUUUCACCCUUAUGUGAAAUACAUCAUCAUGUUCCCACUGUCCUUCCUCCUCUUUCCCAGAAGAAGCUUUCAUAACAGCAAAGCUGUAUACAGAAAUUAUUGGUGUAUAGACAUUUGUUUAUCUGUGUAUAGUUGUAUUCGGUUCAUGUUUUUCAAAGAUUUAAUUUUCAAUGCUUUGAGGAACUAUUUAUGGGGGGAAAAUAUACUAAAUCCAGUCUUUUAAGGGUACUCCAAUUUCUGGAUAGCAACAACAUGAAACCCCCAGAUCUUAUGCUUUUAAUAACUCAUAAAUCACUCGCUGAUAAAAAUAGCCCAGGAAAAUCAUAAACACAAACAUAAAUACAGAGAUAUUCAAGUUUAUCCAUUAUUCUGAAGAACAUAGCUUCACAUUCCUAGUGCAAGAAAUUAUACUCAUAUAUAUAUAUAUACACACACACAUCCUGUAAGGCUCACUCAUAUCUUAUACAUGUGAGGCUCACUCAUUCAGAACAAACUCCUAUUACUCUCUGCAGAAGACUGUAAUCAAUACAAUGGCUAAGGGGAGUCCCAUGUGCGUUUUGCAUGCAAAGUAAGCUUUUUCCUGUGGCCUGAGUAAGAUCGCCCUAAAAUGAGUUUUCUAAAUGUGGGAAAAUAGGUGGCUACACAAUUCUUUACUUGAGCAAUACAGAGAGUUUAUAUCAUGGCAAAGUUGGCUGACCAGACUGAUUAUUUCAAGAGUGUGAGCUAGUGUGUCAGUGCCAUGGCACCUGCUCUGGCCAGGCAGAGUAUUGUACCUGAGCUCCCUCAGUCUGGAAGGACUGUCAGUCAAUUCCUCGUGCCCAGGAGGUCUGAAACCCCCCUCCAUUCUUAAGUCCCUCAGGGGUUGGUAGGAGAACCCAGGCCCACCAAUCCACUGGGUUCCAGCUCAGCACCCCUAAGCCAAAUCAGGCCUUGAUGACUCUAGCCAUGUUCUCUUCAAUCCUUACGGUCAAGGGUAGGGGCCCAGACAGAGACAGAUGCAUCCUGGAGGUGAAUGCCUGGCUGCGAAGACGGUGUCGCCAAGGCACAAGAUCAAAUUAUCCCACUGCAUAGGAAAGAUAGGACGUGUGGCUAGAGACCACCCUGGCUUAACCAGGA